rnacentral:rRNA from 1 species
UACAGAGGUCUCAAGCGUUGUUCGGAUUCAUUGGGCGUAAAGGGUGCGUAGGUGGCGCCGUAAGUCAGGUGUGAAAUUUCGGAGCUUAACUCCGAAACUGCAUUUGAUACUGCGGUGCUUGAGGACUGGAGAGGAGACUGGAAUUUACGGUGUAGCAGUGAAAUGCGUAGAGAUCGUAAGGAAGACCAGUGGCGAAGGCGGGUCUCUGGACAGUUCCUGACGCUCAUGUGCGAAAGCCAGGGGAGCGAACGGG